rnacentral:lncRNA from 1 species
AUCUGAUAUCAUCCCUUCUGCAGUUCAUGAGUUAAUCACUUAUUUUACCCAAAAAUACAAAAUUUCUGAGCGAGAUCUAUUUUUUCCUAUUGAUCUCUUAUUUUUCACAAAAUACAGACUCCCUUGGAUAAUGAAAUGGAAUUAUACUGUUAAUUGGGAGACUCGUUUCUUCUCCCGUCAGUUCUUUGUUAAAUGGUGGGAUCGUUUCGAAGUCCAUCGUAUUACAGAUUAUGUUUAUAAAGACUUUCCCCAAGUUCCUAAUCGUACCCCUGAGCCCAAGCAUGAGCCCUCUUCCUCUUCGGAUACUAUCCUUACAGUUGAAGGUAAAUCUAAGACUGAGUUACAGGACUUAGCCCAGCAGCUCCUUCUUCGAGCCUCUCAAAUGCAUGAUGAUGAUGCUGAGUCUGAAACUUCUUCUAGUUGUCAACCUGCACAGCCAACUCCUGAGCGUCCUGCGCGAUGGGCUGAUUUUCUGCAUGGUCAAGAUCCUAAUGAUGCUUAUGAUGAAGCCUAUAAAGCUUAUGAUUUGAAUUCUGAUUAGACUACUGCAGACAAGUUACCUGAGUUAAAGCAAGUCACCUGAGUUAAAGCAAGUUACCUAAGUUAAAGCAAGCUACCUGAGUUAAAUUUAUUUACUUGAGUUACUGUUGUAAACCUG